rnacentral:rRNA from 1 species
GUAGUUUGAUCGUGGCUCAGAUUGAACGCUGGCGGCAGGCCUAACACAUGCAAGUCGAGCGGAUGAAGGGAGCUUGCUCCUGGAUUCAGCGGUGGACGGGUGAGUAAUGCCUAGGAAUCUGCCUGGUAGUGGGGAUAACGUCCGGAAACGGGCGCUAAUACCGCAUACGUCCUGAGGGAGAAAGUGGGGGAUCUUCGGACCUCACGCUAUCAGAUGAGCCUAGGUCGGAUUAGCUAGUUGGUGGGGUAAAGGCCUACCAAGGCGACGAUCCGUAACUGGUCUGAGAGGAUGAUCAGUCACACUGGAACUGAGACACGGUCCAGACUCCUACGGGAGGCAGCAGUGGGGAAUAUUGGACAAUGGGCGAAAGCCUGAUCCAGCCAUGCCGCGUGUGUGAAGAAGGUCUUCGGAUUGUAAAGCACUUUAAGUUGGGAGGAAGGGCAGUAAGUUAAUACCUUGCUGUUUUGACGUUACCAACAGAAUAAGCACCGGCUAACUUCGUGCCAGCCGCCGC